UGGGGAAUAUUGCACAAUGGGCGCAAGCCUGAUGCAGCCAUGCCGCGUGUGUGAAGAAGGCCUUCGGGUUGUAAAGCACUUUCAGCGAGGAGGAAGGGUUCAGUGUUAAUAGCACUGUUCAUUGACGUUACUCGCAGAAGAAGCACCGGCUAACUCCGUGCCAGCAGCCGCGGUAAUACGGAGGGUGCAAGCGUUAAUCGGAAUUACUGGGCGUAAAGCGCACGCAGGCGGUUUGUUAAGUCAGAUGUGGAAUCCCCGCGCUUAACGUGGGAACUGCAUUUGAAACUGGCAAGCUAGAGUCUUGUAGAGGGGGGUGAGAAUUC
rnacentral:rRNA from 1 species